UACGAAGGGGGCUAGCGUUGCUCGGAAUUACUGGGCGUAAAGGGCGCGUAGGCGGACAGUUUAGUCAGAGGUGAAAGCCCAGGGCUCAACCUUGGAAUUGCCUUUGAUACUGGCUGUCUUGAGUUCGGGAGAGGUGAGUGGAAUGCCGAGUGUAGAGGUGAAAUUCGUAGAUAUUCGGCGGAACACCAGUGGCGAAAGCGACUCACUGGCCCGAUACUGACGCUCAUGCACGAAAGCGUGGGGAGCAAACAGG
rnacentral:rRNA from 1 species